rnacentral:rRNA from 1 species
UACGUAGGCAGCGAGCGUUGUUCGGAAUUACUGGGCGUAAAGAGUGUGUAGGCGGUGCUCUAAGUUCGGUGUGAAAUCUCCUGGCUCAACUGGGAGGGUGCGCCGGAAACUGGAGUGCUUGAGCGUGGGAGAGGAAAGCGGAAUUCCUGGUGUAGCGGUGAAAUGCGUAGAUAUCAGGAGGAACACCUGUGGUGUAGACGGCUUUCUGGACCAUAGCUGACGCUGAGACACGAAGGCGUGGGUAGCAAACAGG